GUCUUAGCUUUGAGCUCUCCUCUCUCCUUGAAGAGGGAAGGUGCUUAGACUUUUCAUGACCACUAUCAUAUUUGUAUUAUUAAAUUAACCAAUGAGGCCAUUAGACUGAAGUGGCUUUAAUGCCUCAGUAACCCAUGUAAGCAAAUCAAAACCUAAGCCUGUGAUGCCUCAAGGUUAAAAAAAGGAAACCUAAAGCAGUCAAAAAUAGUCAAUGAGGCUCUCUCAGAUAAAGCAGUUAUCGCUAAGAAAAUAAUUUCCUUGCCUCCUCCUUUGUGAAAAUCUCUCCCUGCUCCACUUGGUGGAGGGCUCCUAACCAUUUCCUGUUUGGUGCUGAUUCAAAUCAACUUUUUGCUCAAAUUCAAAAGUUUUAAUAUGCCUCAGUUUAUCUUUUAGCCAGUAUAAAGCUGGUUCUAUCUCACCUUUUAUUCUGUUCCUCUCCGUAUCUUUUUCUCCCACUUGAAAAAUUUUAAAGAUGAUCUCAGAAGGAAAUCAUUAUGUUAUAUGGACUCUCUGUCACCAGGAAUAUCUAGUCCAAAAAAACCAGGCCAAAUUUCUGAGAAAAAAUUCAAAUUUUUUUUUUUUUUUUUUUGGUUUUUUUGCCUUUUUUAGAGCCGCUCCCGCGGCAUAUGUAGGUUCCCAGGCUAGGGGUUGAAUCGGAGCUGUAGCCACCGGCCUACGCCAGAGCCACAGCAACGCGGGAUCCGAGCCACGUCUGCAACCUACACCACAGCUCACGGCAACGCCAGAUCGUUAACCCACUGAGCAAGGGCAGGGACCGAACCCGCAACCUCAGGGUUCCUAGUCGGAUUCGUUAACCACUGCGCCACGACGGGAACUCCUAAAAGGAGCUUUUAAGCAUGAUUUAAUAAUAAUGAAUAUAAGGUUUAUAAAUGUAUUUUUAAAAAGGCUUAUAAUAUAUAUCUGAUAAGUGGAUGGAUUUGGGCGCAUUAAUGAAUAUUUAUUUUAAGCCAGAUACAUGUCUUCUUUUAGGCUUUAUUAUGUAAAUUUUAUGCUAAUAAAAUAUUCUAGUUUAUAUAAAA
rnacentral:lncRNA from 1 species